rnacentral:rRNA from 1 species
AUUGAACGCUGGCGGAAUGCUUUACACAUGCAAGUCGAACGGCAGCACGGACUUCGGUCCGGUGGCGAGUGGCGAACGGGUGAGUAAUGUAUCGGAACGUGCCCAGUCGUGGGGGAUAACGUAGUGAAAAUUACGCUAAUACCGCGUACGAUCUAUGGAUGAAAGCGGGGGAUCGCAAGACCUCGCGCGAUUGGAGCGGCCGAUAUCAGAUUAGGUAGUUGGUGGGGUAAAGGCCCACCAAGCCAACGAUCUGUAGCUGGUCUGAGAGGACGACCAGCCACACUGGAACUGAGACACGGUCCAGGCUCCUACGGGAGGCAGCAGUGGGGAAUUUUGGACAGUGGGCGAAAGCCUGAUCCAGCCAUUCCGCGUGCAGGAUGAAGGCCCUCGGGUUGUAAACUGCUUUUGUACAGAACGAAAAGGUUUCUACUAAUACUAGGAGCUCAUGACGGUACUGUAAGAAUAAGCACCGGCUAACUACGUGCCAGCCGCCGCCGUAA